CCUUAUAUUAUUAUGAUCCUUUUACUUUUCUAACAAUCUCGAUAUAGUUACAAACGACGAUGGUGUUCCUCUCGAUUCCGAACGGAGAGACUCUCUCCGUCGACGUAAACCCUAACGCAACCACCAUCUCCGCCUUCGAACAGUUAAUCCACCAACGCACCGAUCUCCCGCAGCCUCUCCUCCGCUACUCCCUCCGCAUGCGAAACCCUAGCCUCGCCAAUCCCGAUUCAAUCCUCCUAUCCGAUCUCGGCGUCUCUCGUUUCUCAACUCUGAUCAUCCAAAUCCCUCUCCUCGGCGGGAUGCAAGCAGGAGGAGCCGCAGCUCCUCCUCCUCCGAAGCCUCGUCUCGAUUUCCUCAACUCGAGGCCUCCGUCGAAUUACGUCGCCGGAUUAGGUCGCGGCGCUACGGGAUUCACCACUCGUUCCGAUAUCGGUCCUGCUCGCGCGGCUCCCGAUCUUCCCGAUAGAUCCGCCGCGGCUGCUGCGGCUCCCGCUCCGGCGGAGAAGGCGGAGGAGGACGAGGAGACGGAGGAGAAGGGGUACGAUGAGAAUCAGAAGUUUGAUGAGUUUGAAGGGAACGAUGCUGGUUUGUUUGCUAAUGCGGAGUACGAUGAGGAUGACAAGGAGGCUGAUGCGAUCUGGGAGUCUAUUGAUCAGAGGAUGGAUUCGAGGAGGAAAGACAGGAGGGAGGCGAAGCUCAAGGAGGAGAUUGAGAAGUAUAGAGCGAGUAACCCUAAGAUUACUGAGCAGUUUGCUGAUUUGAAGAGGAAGUUGCAUACUUUAUCUGCGGAUGAGUGGGAUAGUAUUCCUGAGAUUGGGGAUUACUCGCUGCGUAACAAGAAGAAGAAGUUUGAGAGCUUUGUGCCUAUUCCGGAUACUCUUUUGGAGAAGGCUAAGAAGGAGAAGGAGCUUGUCAUGGCGUUGGAUCCGAAGAGCAGAGCCGCUGGGGGUUCGGAGACGCCGUGGGGGCAGACUCCGGUGACGGAUUUGACUGCUGUGGGUGAGGGGAGAGGUACUGUGUUGUCAUUGAAGCUUGAUAGGUUGUCGGAUUCUGUCUCGGGGCAGACUGUUGUUGAUCCUAAAGGCUACUUGACUGAUUUGAAGAGUAUGAAGAGGACCACUGAUGAAGAGAUUUACGAUCGGAAUAGAGCUAGGUUGUUGUACAAGAGUCUGACUCAGUCGAAUCCGAAGAAUCCCAAUGGGUGGAUUGCUGCAGCUAGAGUUGAGGAGAUGGAUGGGAAGAUUAAGGCAGCUAGGCUUCAGAUUCAGAGGGGCUGCGAAGAGUGCCCGAAGAAUGAGGAUGUUUGGCUUGAAGCUUGUAGGUUGGCUAAUCCGGAAGAUGCCAAGGCGGUGAUUGCGAGGGGUGUUAAGCUGAUUCCCAAUUCUGUGAAGCUUUGGUUGGAGGCUGCGAAGCUGGAGCGUGACGAGGAGAACAAGAGUAGGGUGCUGAGGAAGGGACUGGAGCAUAUUCCAGACUCGGUGAGGCUGUGGAAGGCUGUUGUUGAGUUGGCUAAUGAGGAAGAUGCUAGGAUUCUGCUUCACAGGGCUGUGGAGUGCUGCCCUUUGCAUCUCGAGCUGUGGCUGGCACUUGCGAGGCUUGAAACAUAUGAGAAUUCAAGGAAGGUGUUGAAUAAAGCGAGAGAGAAGCUCUCUAAGGAGCCGGCUAUUUGGAUUACAGCUGCUAAGCUUGAGGAAGCUAAUGGGAACACGCAGAUGGUGGGGAAGAUUAUUGAAAGGGGUAUAAAGACUCUGCAGCGAGAAGGGGUUGUUAUUGACCGAGAAAAUUGGAUGAACGAGGCUGAGGCCUCUGAGAGAGCAGGGUCUGUCGCAACAUGCCAGGCAAUUAUCAAGAACACUAUUGGUAUUGGAGUCGAGGAAGAGGAUAGAAAGAGAACAUGGGUUGCUGAUGCCGAGGAGUGCAAGAAGAGGGGUUCCAUUGAGACUGCAAGAGCAAUAUAUGCCCAUUCUCUUACUGUAUUCUUGACCAAGAAAAGCAUCUGGCUUAAAGCGGCUCAGCUUGAAAAGAGCCACGGGAGCAAGGAGUCCCUUGAUGCUUUGUUGCGUAAGGCUGUGACAUAUGUCCCUCAGGCUGAAGUUCUCUGGCUCAUGGGUGCUAAAGAGAAGUGGCUUGCUGGAGAUGUUCCAGCAGCCCGUGCUAUUCUACAAGAGGCUUAUGCUGCAAUUCCCAACUCGGAAGAGAUCUGGCUUGCUGCUUUCAAGCUUGAGUUUGAGAACAAGGAGCCGGAGAGGGCGAGAAUGCUUCUUGCGAAGGCAAGGGAGAGAGGAGGGACUGAGAGGGUGUGGAUGAAAUCAGCCAUUGUUGAGAGAGAACUUGGCGACGUGGAGGCGGAGAGGAGACUGAUUAAUGAAGGCUUGAAGCAGUUCCCAAGAUUCUUCAAGCUUUGGUUGAUGCGUGGGCAGCUCGAGGAACGGUUCAAUCAUCUGGAACAGGCCAGAAAAGCUUAUGAAUCUGGUUUAAAGCACUGUCCAGAUUGCGUUCCUCUGUGGCUGGCGCUCGCUAAUCUUGAAGAGAGAGUGACUGGGCUGAACAAAGCCCGGGCUAUUCUCACCACGGCCAGGAAGAAGAAUCCUCACGUAGAUGAGCUAUGGUUGGCUGCUAUACGUGUUGAACUCAGGCAUGACAACAAGAGAGAAGCAGAGCACCUGAUGUCAAAGGCUCUCCAAGAGUGUCCUACCAGUGGUAUCCUCUGGGCUGCGGACGUAGAGAUGGCGCCACGUCCUCGCCGGAAAACAAAGAGUAUGGAUGCCAUGAAGAAGUGUGAUCGCGACCCGCAUGUCACUGCAGCCGUUGCCAAGCUCUUCUGGCAAGACAAGAAGGUGGAGAAAGCCGGGGCGUGGUUAAAACGGGCUGUGACCCUCGCCCCAGAUAUUGGUGAUUUCUGGGCGUUGUACUACAAAUUUGAACUUCAACAUGGGACUGAAGAGAGCCAGAAGGAGGUCCUUGCCAAAUGUGUGGCUUGUGAGCCGAAGCAUGGUGAGAAGUGGCAAGCUAUCUCAAAAGCGGUGGAGAAUGCACACCAGCCUAUCGAGGUCAUCUUGAAGAAAGUCGUGAUUGCAUUGAGCAAGGAACAGAAGGCUGCUGCUUGAGAGUAAAAACAUAUAUUCCUUUUGUUUCCAUGAUGAUCGUCAUACUCUACUCAUAGCACAUUACACCUUUGCUCUUUUGUUUUCUCUUUGCAGGCUCAACUUUUAGCUGUUUUUUUUUUUUCAGUAACGCAAACUGAUAAUGAUUUGAUGGAGUGUUUUCACAAGAUACUUUGUUUACUGAUCCUUCAGUCUUCUUUGUGAGUUUCUGUGAGCUGUAGCUCAGCCAUUAAACUUUUUUAUUUAAUAUUAUCUAUGGUGUAUUGAUGAUUCAUUUGUUGUUCCUUUCAUGCCUUGGCCAUCCGUGUCUUCAUGGUGUCUAACAUUGGCGUGUGUGUACUAAGUCAUGAAAUCCAACUUCAAAGCUUCUUUAGACAGUGUAAGCAACUAAUAACCCCUGACAUAAUGAGUUUAUUUGAGUUUAUUUGUCCACCCUAUUAACAACACUGAUUGUGAUAAGAGUAAAAUCCUAGGUGAAUUUAGUAAACCUCUUGCAUGUUUAAAUUAACCAACUAGUUUCAUGCUAACCUCCCACAAUUUAUUUGCCUUCUCUACAACACUGGCUUCUUCUGGAGAGCUGAUUCUCAAAACAAAGUCAGAGGUCUCAUACCAGCUCAAGUAGACUGCGGAUUUUAAGAGCCUUGUGUUUCUCUCAACCUGCAGUAUGUGCUAGGCUUAGUCUUUCCCCAGAUCCUCGUUAUGUGCAUAAUAUUUGGUGAUAUACUUGUGGAAAGGCAGGAAGAGAAUCCCAAUUCAGCGUUAUUAGUUCUGUCAACGCAACCAGGGUUAAGAUAGAAAUUAAUGGCGACUCUGAAACCGCGGAUAAACUUUUGAUUUUUUCCAUUAAGAACACAGUCAUAUUCAUAUAUACGCAAAAGCUGCUCGUGCUUCCUACAAGUCUUUGUAAUGCCUGAACCUGUCGCAGUCAAUAUCUCAAAAUCAGGAUCAACUUCAUCAGAACACAGCUGACUUUUUGGCGGUUAAAACUACUUGCAGAUCUAUAGUUCCAUAGGAACUGGACUACACUAAGACAAUCUGCUUGCCCACUUGGUACGACAAUUGGACCACAUUAGGAUGUAUUGAGCUCAUCACAACGUCUCUCACCAGACGUUAAUCUGUGUAUGUCUAAACAAUCGGGACCCGACCAACUGUAUCUAUCAGAUUCGUAUUACUUAUAGCUUCAGAUUAGAUACAAUUUGACAUUUGACAUUUGACAUUUUGGUUAUGCCAUUGUCAUUAGUAAACGGUAACAAAGUCUUGGAAGA